GAGGACAGUGCUCUACCACAGAGCCUCAUAGCAAAUGGAAAAACCCAAGUAAGAGUUAGACCCACAGGUACAAUAGGAAUUAUGAGUGCGAUCCAAAUGCAGAAUCAUUAAACUGCAUUGGGCUCACUAAUUGACUCCCCCACAUUAGCAGUGAGCAGCCCUCUGGCCAAGUGGGGACUCAUUCAAUAGCCUUUAUCUUUCUAUCUCAUUCAGUCAAUUCAUUAAAGCCUGUUGAUCUCCCAGGGCGCCUUCCGAUGAGUUGCACUGUUUUGUUUCUUGUGCUCCUUGGCUCAUAGAUCUCUUUCACAAUGUCCCUGGUUUCUAAAUGCUCCCAAGCACCAGCUGAGCUUGCGUUCCCAGACAGAGCCAGCAGGCGGUAGCAACACUUCAGGGAAGGCCCCAGCCAGUCACGCACCCCCCCCCCCCCGCCCCGCCCGCCCCGGCCAGUCCAGUCCUGAGCUGGAGAGAAGGUGGAGGGUGGGCGCUAAUAUUUUUCCUCCUUGGACUGCUCAGCCCUAGCUCCAGGCACCACCUGAGCGCACUUUCCACUGCCUCUCAUCAUCCAGGAGUGUGUGUGUGUGGGGGGGAGGGGUCCCUUGCAGGGCGGGCUGGAAGGAGGAACCCGGAGGUACAGGGACUUGCCAAAGCCAGCUAGACCAGGCACAUGGGGACCUCCCCUUUCCAGGCUGGGUUCCCUUCCCUUGAGCAGGGUGGAGGGAGGGAGGUUCCAGUCAGAAGCCCCAGCGCUGACCCAGAUCCAGGCUGGAGCAGGCAGGGGAGUCUGAGUGCUGCGCAGGGACGCUUUACGACCCUGCGCCCGACUCUGGGGCUGCCUGACCUCCCCGCACCCGGCCCACACCCCAAGAUUUGUUGGUCUCGCCCCCAUCGCUUUUCUUUCUUCUUCUUUUCCUCAGUUCACGCCCACCUUAGAGCAAACCUGAGCAGGAGUCCCACUGCUUCAGUUCCCGGAGUUAGAGCCCAGAAGGUGGGGAGGCGCGGGCUGUGCGUCUGGCUCUGCCCGCCAGGCCAGGACAGCGGCAGAGCCCGAGGCCCUGGGCCGGGGCCAACCUGGGCCAUGCGCCUCUGCCCCGGCGGCGGCUUGCGGCCUCGGCGCGUCCCUCCAGGCCAGCACCCAGGGAGCCGCCCCCNNNNNNNNNNNNNNNNNNNNNNNNNNNNNNNNNNNNNNNNNNNNNNNNNNNNNNNNNNNNCUCACUCCAGAGCUGCUCCUGAGCUGCAGGCAGGAGACCCAGGACCCAGCUCUGCGACUGGCCUCGCAGGAUCCCCGGCGCCAACCCCCAACCCGUGUCCACCAGGAAUCUUAGAGUCCCCGCACCGAGCAGACGCGUGCCGCAGCCAAGCAGGAUCCCCGGACCCAAGAGGACACGCGGAGCCCCCGCGAGCUCUGGGAGUCGCAGCUCCACCGCAGACCUCCAGGGGCUCAGACCGCGGAGCUUUAGGCCUGUGGGAAGGGGAUUGCCAUCCCUCUGACUCCAGUGGCAUCUCUCCAAUCCCCUUGGAGCUGGGAGGAGCCAGGAGGCCCAUGCACACCUGCUUGCAGCUCCUCACAGCAUCCCUGGCCCCCAGCCUGGACCACAUUAAAGUCUUGGAAGUGGAGGUAUCUGCUAGAGGAAGGAAGGAGAGUAAACGAAAAGAAAGAGCUGGAAUCACUCCUUCCAGAAGAAAGAGGAAGUAAGGGUGGCUGUAGAUCCCCAGACCUGUGAAAGCCACAGCCCCACCUGGGGCUGGUGCAGGGUGGUAGCCAGGGUAAUCGUGGGAGCCCUGAAGACGCCCCAUGACUACUGAGGUUUACUGUGAGGUGGAGGAUCAGAGUGGCAGGCAUGGUGUGCAGCCUGUGGGUCUUGAUCCUGGGGCUCUUAGUGCUGGCUCUGGAAGGUAAGGAGGAGGAGGCGGGAUACACCCACUUGCCAGGGGAGACAGGUGUGGUGGGCAGGGAGAGGGGUCCAAGAGGCAGAAAAGAGUGAAGACAUGAAAGAGGGGAAGCAGGGGGAUCAUGAGGGACCUAUGCCAGGUAUUUCAGAGACAGGUUUCGGACAGCACCUGAGCUCCUGCUGCCAAGUGAAAUGGACCAGGGAGGGACAUUCUUUGGGUCCCCUGGUCAUGUAGUGGCUGCUCCUGGCACUGUGUCCCUUCCUCCCUGGCAGAGGUGCUGCUGGACACCACAGGAGAGACCUCUGAGAUUGGCUGGCUCACCUACCCACCAGGUGGGGCAAUUCUCCGGUAGGAUAGAAAAGUAAAGAUAGGUAAAGUGAAGUCAAGGAAAAUUAAAAAUUUUAAAUUAUACUUUUAAUAAAAAAUGCAGUUUGAAAAUACAAACUCAGUAAACAAUCCUUAAGAUUCUUAAAGGCACACAAUGUGCCUGGCUCCUACCCAUUUACCUGUCAAUGAACCUCAGCCGUUCCUUUUUACUUGCAAGUGGGUCUCUCGUGUAUUCUUUUCCUCUUACACAAUGGGUUUUGCCAUCACCGGAGGUGGAUAGCACCUGCUAGUGGCUGUCACACUCUUCUUCUGCAGAAGAUGACCAUAGUUUGAGGACCUAGACUGAGAUUUCUUUCUACCCCAAAGUCUCCAUGAAUAUACCCAGCCCCAGUCUAUCACGUGAUGGUCCUCUCUCACUGGAGUGCCCACAUUCUAUUUCUUUAAAUGUGUACUUUAAAAUUUUUGCCUAAUAAAUCCUUUUCCGCCUCUGACCAACUAGUCCUGCAUUGUUUUUUCUCUGAUGGGAG
rnacentral:lncRNA from 1 species